GAGGUUGUAUCUCAGCGGUAGAGUGUAUGUUUGGCAUGCCGAGGUCCUGGGUUCAAUCCCCAGUACCUUCA
rnacentral:tRNA from 1 species